rnacentral:rRNA from 1 species
AACGAACGCUGGCGGCAGGCCUAAUACAUGCAAGUCGAACGGAUGUAGCAAUACAUUAGUGGCGCACGGGUGCCUAACGCGUGGGAACAUACCCUUGAGUAAGGAAUAAUGUCUGGAAACGGACACUAAUACCUUAUAAUGACUUCGGUCCAAAGAUUCAUCGCUCAAGGAUUGGCCCGCGUCUGAUUAGCUAGUUGGUGAGGUAACGGCUCACCAAGGCGACGAUCAGUAGCUGGUCUGAGAGGAUGAUCAGCCACGCUGGGACUGAGACACGGCCCAGACUCCGACGGGAGGCAGCAGUAAGGAAUAUUGGACAAUGGGGGAAACCCUGAUCCAGCCAUGCCGCGUGAGUGAAGAAGGCCUUAGGGUUGUAAAGCUCUUUCAAUAGUGAAGAUAAUGACGGUAGCUAUAGAAGAAGCCCCGGCUAAAUUCGUGCCAGCAGCCGCGGUAA